rnacentral:rRNA from 1 species
UUUAAAUGGCCGCAGUAUAUUAACUGUGCAAAGGUAGCAUAAUCAUUAGUCUUUUAAUUGAAGGCUGGUAUGAAUGGUUGGACGAGAUAUUAACUGUUUCAUAGAAAUUUAUAAUAAAACUUUAUUUUUUAGUUAAAAAGCUAAAAUAAAUUUAAAAGACGAGAAGACCCUAUAAAUCUUUAUAUUUAGGUUAUUAUAAUUUUAUAGAUUUUUUUUAUUGUAAUAAUUUAUAAUAUUUUAUUGGGGUGAUAUUAAAAUUUAAUAAACUUUUAAUUGUUUUUUACAUCAAUUUAUGAAUAAUUGAUCUACUAUUAGUGAUUAAAAAAUUAAGUUACUUUAGGGAUAACAGCGUAAUUUUUUUGAAGAGUUCUUAUCGAUAAAAAAGAUUGCGACCUCGAUGUUGGAUUAAGAGAUAGUUUUAGGUGUAGAUGCUUAAAUUUUAAGUCUGUUCGACUUUUAAUUUCUUAC